rnacentral:rRNA from 1 species
GUCCACGCCGUAAACGAUGAAUGCUAGCCGUUGGCGGGUUUACCCGUCAGUGGCGCAGCUAACGCUUUAAGCAUUCCGCCUGGGGAGUACGGUCGCAAGAUUAAAACUCAAAGGAAUUGACGGGGGCCCGCACAAGCGGUGGAGCAUGUGGUUCAAUUCGACGCAACGCGAAGAACCUUACCAGCUCUUGACAUGUCCCGUAUGGGUUUCAGAGAUGAGACCCUUCAGUUCGGCUGGCGGGAACACAGGUGCUGCAUGGCUGUCGU